AUUGAACGCUGGCGGCAGGCCUAACACAUGCAAGUCGAGCGAGCGGCGGACGGGUGAGUAAUGUAUGGGGACUGCCCGAUAGAGGGGGAUAACUACUGGAAACGGUAGCUAAUACCGCAUACUAUCGGAUAACCCAUAUGGGAUUAGCUAGUAGGUGAGGUAAUGGCUCACCUAGGCGACGAUCCCUAGCUGGUCUGAGAGGAUGAUCAGGCACACUGGGACUGAGAUACGGCCCAUAUGCCGACGGAGGCAGCAGUGGGGAAUAUUGGACAAUGGGCGAAAGCCGGAUGCAGCCAUGCCGCGUGUAUGAAGAAGGCCUUAGGGUUGUAAAGUACUUUCAGUCGGGAGGCGUUACCGACAGAAGAAUCACCGGCUAACUUCGUGCCAGCAGCCGCGGUAAUUC
rnacentral:rRNA from 1 species